GUGCGUCAUCCCAUUACCUCACCGCCGCCAUUGUGAUCGCUAUGGUUAACCGCGGACUUGAUAGCGCCUGCCUGGACGCGGCGUGCUGCUCAGCGGGCGAGUGUGCUUGCAGCGAGCGAGCGGCGCGGAAGCUUUUGGCUCCCUCGUGACUCGCCUGACUUCUCCUCCUCCAGCUCAGCACCUCCCAGUCCACCUCCAGGCAGACAUGGAGCGUCACACCAGCCUCGACAUCCUCCUCCUUCAGCUGCUGCUCCUCCCUCUGCUCUUCAGCCGGGGAUGCGCAGCGGCGGCUGGCGACAAGGAGACAGCGUGGCUUUCCUUCUCCACAGAGGAGCUUGAACUGGUGGCGAAGGAUCAUGAGAACGCCACCGUCUUUCUUCUGCUCAGAGGGACGACCCAGGAGUGUUUCACCGUCAACUUCACCUACAAGCCCGCCAGCCCAAGCAUCGUUCCUCUCAGUGACCUUCUCCUCUGCCCUGACCAGCUGCCGACACCACCUACCCCCUCAUCUCCCCGUCCUUCCAAGGGCUGUAGAGGCUGCGAGACUGACCAUGCGGAGGAAACGAGGGAAAAUGGGGGAGAUUUGUCCUUGCUGCCCUCAUCCGCCCCUCACUCACACCCCAGUUCCUUCAUGCAGCUUCUUCAGGCCUGGGCUUAUAGACUGGGAGGCGGUCAGGAGUCCUCAGAGAGUGGUGAAGUAAUAGCCAACGUGACCUUGGAUAUUGUGAGUCGCUGGGUUGGCAAAACUACUCUGAGUGUGGCGACCAACUCUUCCAGUGUGGGAGUGGUAGAUACCUUUGUGGAGGUCUCGGUGAUCCAUACGCGGGCGCUGGACGUGGCAAGUGCCGUGAUGGGAUGGGCCUACACGGUGAUCUGGGACGUCUCCUUCCUCCCGCAGGUGAUCCUCAACUGGCGCAGGAAAAACGUGGAGGGUUACAGUUUCGACAACGUGGCGCUGAAUGUGAUCGCAUACCUCUACUACGCGCUCUUCAAUGUGGCCUUCUACUGGGUGCCUCUCAUAAAGGAUCAAUUCAAGGAACGAUACCCAAGAACAGUCAACCACGUGGAAACCAAUGACGUGUUCUUCGCCACCUACGCGUUCUUCAUCCAGAUCGUGCUCGCCGUUCAGUGCUUCUUGUACGGCAGGAACACGGGGCUGAGUGUGUCGUGGCCGUGCAUCGGGCUAGUGGCUGCUUCCGUGCUGGCCGUGGCCGUGGACUGCGUACUGGUGGCCUUCGGGGUGGUGUGGUGGCUCGAUGUCUUCUACCUGAUGUCCUAUAUGAAGCUGAUCAUCACGCCGCUCAAGUAUAUUCCUCAGGUGUACGUGAUCUACAAGGUGAAGAGCACCAAAGGCUUCAGCAUCUUGGGCGCCGUCAUGGACUUCAGCGGCGGCGUGCUGUCCCUGGCGCAAAUGUUCCUGCUCUCUGCCAACAGCAAUGACUAUCUCUCCAUCUUCACCAACUUCAGCAAGUUUGGUCUGGGCGUCGUCACUCUUAUCUUCGACAUCACCUACUUCUUUCAGCACUUUUACUACCACCUCAGGGUUCGGAAGUAAGGAUACCAAAGAGUGCUGAGGGAGGAGGAGGAGCAGCCGUGCAGGUGUGACAACUCGAUGACAGCCCUCCUUCUCACCUCCCUCGCGCACUCCUAUCCAGGGGGGCCGCCUGUGACUACUUGACAUUCUUGCUGUGCAGUCAGGUUUGAUUACUGCUCAACUCGAUGAAUUACGUGUAUUCCAGUGUUCCAGAAAACUGAGAGGCUUUGGCUUUGACGGGAUGCUGUUAUUGGUUGUGUGUGUGUGCCUGUGUGUGUGUGCUCGCGCCAGUCAUUGCGGUGCAAUACCAGGCAGACCAACACCGCCGCACGCAUAAAGCAGCGUCAUUAUGAUUCAAUACGCAACACGACGUUUUCACUGUACUAUUAUGUAAUAAAGUGUUAUGUCAAAUGGAGGAAGAGGAGAAGGAUAUUGCAACAAGAGUGUCAAUGGUCGUCGAGAAUGCUGCCGCAAAGUAGAGGAACUGUUAUGUCUGAACAAAACAAACAUUAAGAUCGAUAAUUAGAUGAUUGAAUAAUAUAAUGAUAAUUGAUGAAUAGGUAUAAUGCACAUAUUAUACCAGAUUAUAUUGAUGAAUGUGUUGGUGGAUGAGGGAACUGACAGAUAAAUAGGUAACUAGAUAAAAAGGAUGAACUGAUAGGUAAAAUGAAUGGAAGUAGGUAUAGAUGGGUAGUUUUGGAUGGAUGAAGCAAUGUAAAGAUAGAUAAAUAUGUAGAUGGAUGAAUAGAUUGACAAAUGUAGAUAAACAAUUACCAAAAUAAGCAUACAGCCAUUACACUAGGAAACCCCGAGUAUGAAACACGGGUCGAAACAUCGGUCUACCGAAACAAGGUUCAUUUUCGGCUUCAUGAAUCGGCAACCGGCCACUCUUUGCAUGGCGGUCGGCCUAGGUAGGCUGUGCAAGAGUUGUCCUUUUGAAUUAGUGCUGCAGCUCCCUGCCAGACAUGAACAUUGCAUCCCUGUGUCAGUGAGGAAGUCCAGGGUAGCAGGUGACCAUGCUGUCUCUUCGUUUCACUGGGAGCUAGAUAGCUCAGUAACGAAGGACAAUAAUAGAAUCAUUAAAGCAUAAAAUGAAUAAAGAAAAAUAGGCUUUUCAUUAAAGCUAAAUUGAAACUAGCAACAUACGUAACAGCACAAAAUUAGGAAUACAAGAUUCAAGCAGUGGAUAAGUUGUUUGAGAGGUGCUGGGGUGUGCACAAUUGUUCUGCUCACAACACAGGCACUUGUGUAAGUAAUGAAAUUUAAGUGAUGAAAAUAUACAUGCAGAAUGUAUUACAUCAAGAAGGGAGAAUGAAGAAGGAAUAUUGCUGUGUGGAUGGUGAGGUGUAGAACUCAAAUAAUUUUGGAUACAUGAAAUGAAGAAUGAGUGCAACAACAAGAAAGAUAUACAAGAAUGGAAUUAAAAGCUGGGAGAUUCAAAAUGGAAGAGGAGGAACAGAAUGGAAUAGGUAAAGACAGGGCAUAUGAACAAGCACAAUGGAGAAGAGGGCUUUAAAGAAGAGAUUAAGGAAUUAGGAGGGGCUCCUAAUGAGUGCUGAUGGGGAUGUAUUUAAUAACAUUCAAAACAAUAGUAGCAUGUAGCAAUUACAGAGAAAUCUGGAAUUAUGUUGAACAUGUGUGUAAAUAGUAAUUCGCAGUAUUUAUAUUCAUCAUGCCACAAAUGUACUCAAGCUUUGUUCUAGAACAGUGUCCAGAAAAUUUGUCCCUGGUGAGAUACACAAAUCUGUUAAAUGAUGGUGCUGGGUACCUAGCUCUGUGGUGCAGUCCUUGAACAAUCAGCCUGUAGCUGAAAUGCUGGAAGUUAGUUAGGUCCUGGUUUACAGCAGUUUGUUGGUUAUUGGUGAGAAGAGUACUUUUUGCUACAGUUUGGAGCUGCAGGUUGAGCAUUCAAGAACUGCACCAACCCCUCUGUUAGGUCUGUGAAUCUGUCAUCAAACUUGCUGGACACAAAGCUCAUGUAAAUAUGUAUGAGGCUGAAUUAAACAGAGCACUAAUUACACAACCUCUUUAUCUAUCACUGCAAGACCCAUGUGCUGCUACUACUCCUUUACACAUUAUUUCACUAUAAGCACUUGUCCCCUCUUUUUGUUUGAUCCUGGUGAAAGAUCCACAAAUCUGACUGAGGGUGGUUGUGUCCAGCAAUAUGAUAGGAAGAUUAUUAGAUGCGACAGUUUUGAGGGGCAAAGGUGGGGAGAUUUGACCACCAUCUGGUGUAAGGGAAAUUGAAAUUAUGUUUGAGUACAGUGGUAACAAGAUGAGUUGGUCAUGAUAGGGGGAAUAUGAGAGAAAAGUGUAAGGCCAUGAAAUGGAUGGUGUAGAGAGAGCAUUAAUGCAAGUAAAACAUAUGAGGAAAAUGCAAGAGUGAUAAGGAAUUCAGUAAGUAGUUUAAAACUCUUGUCACACCUAGCUCAUCUUGUUACCAUGUCCUCAAGCCAACUUCCAAUUUGGCUUACACCAGGUAAUGGUCAGAUCCACCUUUGCUUUUUACAAAGUUGUUUGUCACAUUUAUUUAUCUCAUAUUCCUGGACACAACUAUCCUCAAUCACUGCCUUAUUAAUAACCCUUCCAUCUACAUUUUUCUCUUUUUACAAAUAUAUCCUCCUUUAAACUGAAAAUUCCCCAAUUCCUGCUCCUGUCAUCUUUUCUCCAUUUUUUCUUCCAAGCACACCAAUCAACCACACUUUAAACUAUUACAUUCACAACCCCGUAGCAUGUGUUUACAUCCCCCAGCAGUAUACAUCUACAUUUGGUCAAAACCUCCACAAACACUCAACAUCAUUCCAAAAGACCUUUUUUUCUCUCUUCUUCAAUGGUCACUGGUAGACCCCCAUGCUUUCACAAAUACUUCAGCUGCCACUGUAGUCACUUCUCCAACUACCACCUUAAUUUUUCUCUCUUGCAAACCUUGCUCCAUUUUUACCACAAGAUGACUAAAUGUUUAAAAGGUGACAAAUUAAUCUCCCCUGCUAUGUACAUAGCUAAGACCAUACAGUUUUGCUAAGGUUAUGAGAGAGCAUUACCCCUCUCAACACGAAACUCAUGAACUAAGAAUGAACUCAACUUUUCAGUUGCAGCAUAAACAUGCAAACACUGUAUCAGAGCUGUCCAACUUCCUCAGUAUAUGUGUCACCAGGAUCAAACUCACUAGAUACUGUUAACAUGUAAAUUGCAUUUGUCUAUCUAUCGUAUCUGUGUACCAACCAGCAAUCUCGCACAGGACAGCUCACAGCACAUUUGUACUGGAUUAAAUAAAAGUACUUACUAU